rnacentral:lncRNA from 1 species
CUGGGGGCUCCCACCGCCGGCCACUUUGCCCCUGGGGGGACCGAGCAGCUUUGUUCUUGGGCAGCAGCUGGGCUGGCUGCCGCCGCUGCACUUCUCCCGGAGGACCUGUGUCCCCUUUGCUUAUGUGUGUGUUUUUCCAGCACUUUCUGUUUUAUUUUCCAAGUUCCAAGCCUAACCUUUUUGCUUUAUUUCUUUAGUUAUUGGUCUUAAAACUAGCUCUUUCUAGGCACCCGUGCCCCCAGACUUAUUACAAGCCUUAUCUCAAGACUGAGAUUGCUAGAUCUUCUUUUUGGUGGGGGCAGAGUGAGAGGGGUCGCUGGCCUGUGACCCCUCCACCCCCCAGGAGGGGGCCGCCUGGGGCUGGCUCCUUCCAGGACUCUGCUUCCGGUGAAUUCCUGCUCUGGACUGGAACCCUAGCUGGCAUCGUUUUCAGCUUCUGCCCUGGCAGGGUAUGUUCCCGUAGAGCCUGGUGCCGCCUCCUCCUGGCCAAGAGAUGCGUGUUCCCACGCGCGGGAGAGCCGUGGCCUGCCUCCUGUGGCUGCUGUUGCUGUGGAGCGGGGACGGCGGCUGUCGGGCCCAGAGGGCAGGCUGCAAGACCGUGCACUACGACCUGGUCUUCCUCUUGGACACCUCCUCCAGCGUGGGCAAGGAGGACUUUGAGAAGGUGCGGCAGUGGGUGGCCAACCUGGUGGACACCUUCGAGGUGGGUCCCGAGCGCACCCGCGUGGGCGUGGUGCGCUACAGCGACCGGC